GAAGGGUUUUUGUCUCUGUGUUGGAAAUGGCACAGCAGCUUAGCUGGUCAGAGAUGAAGGUGAAGAGAAAUUUAGAAAGUUUGAGACGAGACGAGCUGUCAUUAUCGGGAAUUCUUGAGGGAUAUGGCCGUUAGUUACAGAAAAAGGAGGCAUCAUGGUAAGAGAGCAGAAACGCCAGAGAAGGAUCAUAAGAAUGGAUUAUUCUUCACGCGCAUAAUAGAAGGAGAUGCAAGAGAGCGUGGGCUGGUAAGGACGCGUCUACGGGCCCAAGGACUUCUGCCUCAAGAAGCUCCAUCACAGACCCUUCGAGAGAGAGAGAGAGAGAGAGGGAGAGAGAGAGAGAGACAGAAACAGAGAGUAAAAGAAAGCGUGAAGACUUGGUUCUCUUUUGUUGACACUUGACUUUUGCUUUGUCUGGUGUGUGCCAUUUCUGUUUGCCUUGUUUUACCAUUUAUUUUUGUAAA